rnacentral:tRNA from 1 species
GGGAGGAUGGCCGAGCGGUUAAGGCGCUGUGUUUAGGUCUUAUUGCCUGAAUCCCGCAGUGGGAAACCUCGUGGUGAGACUUGAGCAACAUUCCUACAUAGGUCCGAUUUGAACAUGUAUAUUAAUUUUCGUUUCUAUAGGGUUCGAAUCCCACUCCUCUCA